rnacentral:rRNA from 1 species
UACGAAGGGGGCUAGCGUUGCUCGGAAUUACUGGGCGUAAAGGGCGCGUAGGCGGCACUGUUAGUCAGGCGUGAAAGUCCUGGGCUCAACCUGGGAACUGCGCUUGAUACGGCAGAGCUAGAGGAUGGAAGAGGGUCGCGGAAUUCCCAGUGUAGAGGUGAAAUUCGCAGAUAUUGGGAAGAACACCGGUGGCGAAGGCGGCGACCUGGUCCAUUACUGACGCUGAGGCGCGACAGCGUGGGGAGCAAACAGG